GACAGAGGCCCCAAGCGUUAGGCGGAAUCACUGGGCUUAAAGCGUGUGUAGGCGGACGCCUAAGUAUCUUGUGAAAUCCCACGGCUCAACCGUGGAACUGCUGGAUAUACUGCUUGUCUUGAGGCACUUAGGGGCAGCUGGAACAAAUGGUGGAGCGGUGAAAUGCGUAGAUAUCAUUUGGAACGCAAAGGCGAAAGCAGGCUGCUGGGAGUGAUCUGACACUGAGACGCGAAAGCCAGGGGAGCAAACG
rnacentral:rRNA from 1 species